UACGGGGGGAGCAAGCGUUGUUCGGAUUUACUGGGCGUAAAGGGCGCGUAGGCGGCGUGACAAGUCACUUGUGAAAUCUCCGGGCUUAACCCGGAGCGGCCAAGUGAUACUGUCGUGCUAGAGUGCGGAAGGGGCUACUGGAAUUCUCGGUGUAGCGGUGAAAUGCGCAGAUAUCAGGAGGAACACCAAUGGCGAAGGCAGCUCGCUGGGACGUGACUGACGCUGAGACGCGAAAGCGUGGGGAGCAAACAGG
rnacentral:rRNA from 1 species